rnacentral:tRNA from 1 species
GUGUGGCUCAGCAGUACAGCUCUUGCCUGGCAUGUAGGAGGCCUUGGGUUCAAUCCCCAAUAC